UACAUCCCAGGCUGGUUUCAGUCUUGAUAUGU
rnacentral:piRNA from 1 species